rnacentral:rRNA from 1 species
CACGUAGGGCGCAAGCGUUGUCCGGAAUUAUUGGGCGUAAAGGGUGCGUAGGCGGUUGGGUAAGUCUGACGUGAAAUCUCCGGGCCUAACCCGGAAACUGCGUUGGAUACUACCUGACUAGAGGAAUGGAGGGGAGACUGGAAUACUUGGUGUAGCAGUGAAAUGCGUAGAUAUUAAGUGGAACACCAGUGGCGAAGGCGAGUCUCUGGACAUUUCCUGACGCUGAGGCACGAAAGCCAGGGGAGCAAACGGG